AUGUUUCCAUGCCCUUGGAAGGAGGAGGACUGGUCUCCAUUUUGCUCUUCAAGAAGAAAAUACUUAUGAGGCCAACACAGCUGCGGGACCCACUCACGCCAGUUCUGUUGUGAGUGUCCCUCUAGCUGGUGCAAGCUUAGUGCACAUGAAGUAUGUGUCCUGGGAAGACGCUGGGACACUUACUCUUUAAUGAGUGUCUUCACCAACACUGACCAGGUGCUGAUGGGAGAUGGUUUGCCUUCAAUACAAAUAAAAAAGGAAGAAUCUCUUUCUGCCCCUCGUGCUAAAGAGAUUGCUCUGCACAAACGAUCCCUGUUGUUUUCUAAGGAGAGACAGAAAGGAUGUGGAUUCUGA
rnacentral:lncRNA from 1 species